AAGGGUGCCCGGACAACUGAACCAGUGACAACUGAACCAGUGACAAUUGGACCAGUGACAAUUGGACCAGUGGACAACUGAGCCAGUGGACAACUGAACCAGUGGACAACUGAACCAGUGGACAACUGAACCAGUGAACCACUGAACCAGUGACAACUGAACCAGUGGACAACUAAACCAGUGACAACUGAACCAGUGACAAUUGAACCAGUGACAACUGAACCAGUGACAACUGAACCAGUGACAAUUGAACCAGUGUCAAAAAAUGUUAUCUGUUUGCUACGGCAUAGGUUAGGUUAGGUUAGGUUAGGUUAGGUUAGGUUAGGUUAGGUUAGGUUAGGUUAGGUUAGGUUAGGUUAGGUUAGGUUAGCCACUAAAAUUAAGAUGUAUAGAGCUGAAGUAGAUAAGCUCCUGUAUUUGCGAGCAGUAGCUAAUAUGCAGGUCGUGUAAAUAGGGGACACUGUAGUGCACUAUAUGUGAUUAUAUCAGUUGGUUUAUAUUUUUACUACAUGAAUGAUUCUAAAAACUACUGAACCAUAGUAUCGCCACUA